UACGGGGGGGGGCAAGCGUUUGUUCGGAAUUACUGGGCGUAAAGGGUUCGUAGGUGGCUUGCUAAGUCAGACGUGAAAUCCCUCAGCUUAACUGGGGAACUGCGUCUGAUACUGGCGAGCUUGAGUGCAGGAGAGGAACGCGGAAUUCCAGGUGUAGCGGUGAAAUGCGUAGAUAUCAGGAGGAACACCAAUGGCGAAGGCAGCUCUCUGGUACGUGACUGACGCUGAGGCGCGAAGGCGUGGGGAGCGAACGGG
rnacentral:rRNA from 1 species